rnacentral:rRNA from 1 species
UACGUAGGGGGCAAGCGUUGUCCGGAUUUAUUGGGCGUAAAGAGCGUGUAGGCGGCCAGGUAGGUCUGCUGUGAAAACUCGAGGCUUAACCUCGAGCUGUCGGCGGAAACCAUCUGGCUAGAGUCCGGAAGAGGAGAAUGGAAUCCCCGGUGUAGCGGUGAAAUGCGCAGAUAUCGGGAAGAACACCCGUAGCGAAGGCGGUUCUCUGGGACGGUACUGACGCUGAGACGCGAAAGCGUGGGGAGCGAACAGG